UCGGGAAUUUUGGGCAAUGGGCGAAAGCCUGACCCAGCAACGCCGCGUGAAGGAUGAAGUAUUUCGGUAUGUAAACUUCGAAAGAAUAGGAAGAAUAAAUGACGGUACUAUUUAUAAGGUCCGGCUAACUACGUGCCAGCAGCCGCGGUAAUACGUAGGGACCAAGCGUUGUUCGGAUUUACUGGCCGUAAAGGGCGCGUAGGCGGCAAUUCAAGUCAUCUGUGAAAUCUCCGGGCUUAACUCGGAACGGUCAGAUGAUACUGCUUUGCUAGAGUGCAGAAGGGGCAAUCGGAAUUCUUGGUGUAGCGGUGAAAUGCGUAGAUAUCAAGAGGAACACCUGAGGUGAAGACGGGUUGCUGGGCUGACACUGACGCUGAGGCGCGAAAGCCAGGGGAGCAAACGGGAUUAGAUACCCUUGUAGUCCCUGAGCGGGCUGGCAAGGCGCAU
rnacentral:rRNA from 1 species